AGAUUGUGCCAUAGAAUUCUCACAAAUUAAAUUUAUCUUCCAAGUUGAGGAAAAAGGACAUAACAAAGAGGAACCAGCAAGAGGGAACACAAGAAUACUGUCAAGAAGCAUUUCUUCAUCAACAGUAGUGUGGCUGGGUAAAGACAAAAUGACAUACCACUUCCAGUAGAAUCCAUGCAGCAUCAACAGUGUAUUCAGCCAAGACUCAGACUGCAUUUCAGAUCCAAACCUGGGAGGCAUCAGACCCACUUGGAAGGAAACUGUAGGUAGAUUUUAUAGAAACUGCUGACCAAGACCCAAAUCUCCAGUGGGAGCCUACAUGGGUGACUGGCUAUCCUAAUAGUCUUCUUAUCAAGUAGAAGAGCACUUUUAGAGGGAUUAUGAGAGUUGAAUCAAGUAUGAUAGGAUCUUCAUUCACCAAAACCAAUGCUUGUAAGUAUUUUAACCACAGAGAAAGAACCAAGGAGAAAUGAAGUAAUAUGAAGUGAGCAAAGAUAUUCAAAAGGAGUCAAGAAAGAGAAGAAUUCUAUGUCCUGCAGGAUCAUGGAGAUUUCAGAGAAAACCUCAUUGGUUCCAGCAAGGGCCAUUAGCACUCUGAAAUGCUUCCUUUGCUUGUACUACUAAGACCUUCAGCUGCUUUGAGACCUGGCCCACAGACUUGACAGAACUGAUGUCCCUCAGUCAUCACUAUGCAGAUGAAACAGGUUUGAGUCCAGUUGAUGCAGAAAGAGUUCCUUCUAGAAAAUUUCUUAGUUCCUCUACCUGCCUGGUGCUUAGGGCAUUUGAUAAAUACUAUACCAUGGGAAAUAAACUGGUAGAUACUUUUUUUAAA
rnacentral:lncRNA from 1 species